rnacentral:rRNA from 1 species
CCCUUAGAUGUUCUGGGCCGCACGCGCGCUACACUGAUGCAUUCAACAAGCCUAGCCUUGACCGAGAGGUCCGGGUAAUCUUUGAAACUGCAUCGUGAUGGGGCUAGAUUAUUGCAAUUAUUAAUCUUCAACGAGGAAUGCCUAGUAAGCGUGAUUCAUCAAAUCGCGUUGAUUACGUCCCUGCCCUUUGUACACACCGCCCGUCGCUCCUACCGAUUGAAUGCGUUGGUGAGGAGCUCGGAUUGGCAGCAGCUGGUGGUUCGCCACCGGCUAUUGCUGAGAAGUCCUCCAAACCACCCCAUUUAGAGGAAGGAGAAGUCGUAACA